CGCUUCUUUAUAGUCAUUAGCUUGACGUUUUAAGAAAGUUUCCUUAGAAGGGAUCAAAGAGGUCAUAUUGCGUAGAUGACGCUAUUGAGCGUUCUUUCACAUCAUGACCUUUAAUCAUGUUACAAGAAUAGAGGGCGGGACCUUUCAUAUAAUUCUCCAACUCAAACCCUAUCAGCUCAUUACUCACUUGAAAAACAAUCCUACCAUUCUGAACAUCUACUAU
rnacentral:lncRNA from 1 species